GGCGGCGAGGUCGUGAUGACUUCAUGAAGCGUCUGCUCACGAGCUGAUUGGAUGAAUUAGUGACCGUAAUCGUUAGCGGCCGUGCUUUAGAUAGACUCUUAAUGUCUCUGUAUUAGCACUAAUGGAAUGCAAUUUCAGCUCUGUCUCUGCUCUCCGUCACCCCGCCCGGCCGUGAUCCUGGGGGCACCGCCGGACCGUCGUCUAGGUAACUGUAAUCACCCGGCCCAGUGCUGCUCCUCCUCUUCCUCCCCCCAUGAAACCCUCAGUGAGACAGAGAGAAAAUUAAAGAUGGCUCUUAAUAAGAGUCCUGGUGCUAAAAGAAAAUGACCAAUAUUCUUCCUCAGGCUGGGAAAUGAUUUGAGCUACAGCCAGUUUUGUGAAGGAGCAGCGGGGGAGAUUAGCUCGAUUAAGGCCAAAUCAGACCUGCUUCCAAUUUGAUGAGAGGAGGGAAGAUAAUAGCUCUCAGAUUGGUUUCUCAUGCAGCUCUGGCCUUCACUGAGGGAAUUAAACCACUCUUUGUCUCUGCUCCUCUCGGGGUGACUCUGCUCUCCCACCAAUCAGAGAUGCUAGUUGCUAAAUUAGAAGCUAAUCUAACCUUUUCUUCCCACAAUUACCUUCAUGUCCAACUAGUCCAACUUUUCAUUAGCUAAACACUUCUCAACUCACCACGGCUGCAAAAAAUAGUUGUGCCUUAAUACAAGGACAGAGCAAAUAAACUUUACCUGUGGUUGCGGUUACCAUAGCAACUAUAACAAUCCAUUAAUAAGCUACUAGUGAAACUAAUGAGAGUUUAGAUAAAGUGGAUCUACACUAUCUUUGCUUUUGGUUUAAACAACUGUGGCUAGUGAGCACAUGUGCAGAGAAUAAAACAACGGCACAGUUCACUAAGUAUAGAACUCAGGCCUGGCACUAAAGUGCAAAUUAUUAAUCAGCAAUCUAACUUUAAGACGCAGUUCACAAAGUCCAGGCCUUCCUCUACUGUUGUUCUCUCUGACCAGCCAGGUAUCGAUCCCGUCACGUGUUCUCAUUGAUCUGCAGUAAAACCAUUGUAUCCACAGGUGUUGCCAGAACACAUCCAACAGUCUGACCGGACUCUGGCCUGGAGGUGGGGGCGUUUCCCCAGGUUACCUGAACAUCACACCACUUGUUGCUCUGACCUAGAACAUACAGAGAAUCGCUUGUGUAAAUUAGCAGCAAGUGAAGGUGAUUCAGAGCAGACUGAGAUGAUUAAAGGACAUAUUCAGAAGGUUUCUUUUUCCCUCCUUUCGUUCUCUGACACUUCAAAGGUGCUGAGGUGAAAAAAUCAUUUAGAAGAGAAAAGAGUGAGUGAAACGAUUGGAUGUGACCUUUACAGAGACACGAUGAGAACAUGGAGGUAGAUGGAGAGGUGAUCCGAGAGGAGAGGUGCCAACAGCCAGAGGAGGAGAAUUAAGCGACUGUUCCAGACUCGACGCGUCCACGGCUCGGCUCACUUUACUCUGCUUUGACAUUUGAAUGGUGUCACAUGUCUGUGUGUUGCUGUGCACGUGUGGAAAAUGGCUGUUUGAGCUCAGCUGUAGAACGUUUGCGAUGCAUCAGGGGGUUUGAUGAUCACACAAAGGUCACUUCACAUGACUGGCAUUGGAUUGCUGAGUCCAUGCUGCAGCGUGAGCAUCUGGCCCAAACACUGUCACAGAUGUCGAGGAGGGAGCAGGGUAUGUGGAGGCAAAGGAAGCUAAGGAAUGUGAAAAGUACACCUGGUACGAUGAAGGGAAUCAUUGGCAGAAACAAGAGAGGAAAUGAAUUAUUACUAUUGUUACUUUUAUUAUUAUUAAAUAUACGUUUCCAGGUGCUGGAGGAGGAAGUGGAGCAUGAAUCGAGAACGGACCACCACUAGAUCUACUGUAACGGAGGUCAGCAUCCUAUGAUGUCACGGUGGGUGGGUGUGGUUACAGGUACGGGUGUAGUUCUGUCAUCUUUGUGGUGCCAAACAACAGUAACUGAUUCCAAACUGUCUAAGUGUAACUGACCCGUAGAUUUGUUGCUACCAGGGCCAGUGUUUACAUCAAACACACUUGUUCCUGCCUCAGCUCCCCCAUCUUGUUUUCAUGCUGCCUGUUUCCUUAUGGUCAAACUCACACACUGAGUCUGGAUUAAACGGUCUCGUGACCGGGCCGGGCUAAGCGCUGUCACAUGUCAGUGGGGGGCAGUGUCCGAUUGGUCAGUUCACUAAGCGAGGGCAGCUUUACUGUCAUGUUUCCCCACAUCAAACACCUUUUCAUCCCGUUGCUUUGACAACCGUCAGCCAACAGCUGAUUGGUGCUGAGCUCGGCAGGUUCAGACGGUGGGAAAAAACGUAGCUUCAUUUAACUUCAGAUUCCAGUGACGCACAGCUUUGAAGCUCUGAAAACAUGCAUUGGAAUUAAAUUAAACGGUUCCAUCCUGCAUCACAUGCUGCUGAUCCUGUCAACUAUGGAGAACCGAAACCACCAUAGUUAAAUAUAAAGGAAAAAGAAAAUAAAUGUACUAAUUUUGAAAUUCUGAAUAUACAAAUAAAUAAAACUUUGGAAAAAGAAAUGUAUAAUUGAUUAUUUCCAGUAAAACCCUUAAUUAAUGUUCACAUUUAUUUAUUUUUCUAUUUUUUUAAAGAAAGAUUUAUGCAUUUAGCUUUUAUUUUUCUCUAGCGGUUUUUCAUUUUCUUGUGUGUAGGCAAAUGAGCCGCGCGUGUCUUAAUUGUGUCACUGCACAGUCAUUGCUCGCAUUCCUCCUUCGACCUCGAGGCUCAGCCUCUGGUAAACUUUAUCCAGUAGUUCAAAAACCACCGUGGGUAUUUCUCUGCCCGUAUUGUCAGAUAAACUGAACAAGUUUUCCCGACUCAAAUCAAUUUAAAACACCAUGAGGUCUGGUGUAAAACUUUUUCAAUUGUCCACAAGAUGCCUUGAGUUGUUUUCUAUCUGCCGAAGUUCCAUUGCUAAUGCUAGCUAGACCAUGAUGCAAAACAAACGAAAAUCACACAGAGGUUUUAUUAUUUCAGUUAAACAAUUAUUUUUGUUCAUUUUCGGAGCCAGAGACUUAAUGUUUUGUCCGUGUUUUCUUUUGCAUAUUUUAACACUGAAAUGUCCCACACCACGUGAACACCGCAGCAGCGGCAAAAGGAUUCGGCCUCAUUCAACAGAUAGAAUCCGCUCCUGAAACGCAGCGUCCAACUCACAGACAGGGUGAUACAGCUGCUUGGUUUACUCACCAGUCUCUGUACCGCCAAAGUCUUUGCUUUUACUAGUUUGCUUUGGCUCUGAACUCACGCUUGCUUAUUUUCGCUCUGCUGGAUGAACGGUGUAACCUUGCAAAUAAAAACAGCUAAUCAAACCAAUCAGCAGCGCUUCUGAUGUGAUUGACAGAGGGUAGGAGCCAAUCAGCUACACGUAAAAACGGUUUCUGGUGACGUGCUCGCAAUCACAACGACAUCAAAACAUAAGGAACGGUUGUGUCGAACCCCGACGUUAUACUUGUGGCAGCCAUGUUGGACAUCAGGCAGCAAACAACAAUAGACAGGAUGUUUAGUGCUGAGUUGAGCUCAGAUUUAAGAUGGCUUCAAUGUUUAAUCAUUUUAGCUGCAAACAAGGAGCCUUGUGGAACCGAGUGAAGCAUCAGGACCUCAGAGUCUAUUGUGAGUGUCGUGUAACACACAGGUGAGUCUGUGGCCAACAGGUAUUUUUAGCUCGGUGUCCUUCAGGAGUCAGGACGAACUGAUUCUCCUCCUAAGAGGCUGUGAUUUCUUCUGAUCAGGCGUCUUUUCCAUCGUCUCCAUCACCGACCUGUCGCUGCUCGAGGUGCUGAUUUGCACUUUUAUUCAAGCACCACUGGGUAAAGCAAAUUUCAUCGAAGUUGUUUCCUGAAUAAAAGAUGAAGGUGUUUAUUUCGCUCUGCGGAGCGCGGCGCCGACAACUGACAGAGGCUCAGACUGAAUCAUGGAUCCAACACAACCAGCGCUGAUUUCAUCCAGCACAUGCUGAGAUCCAUGAUCCGCAUUUAGUAAACGCGAAGAGAAGGAAACAGUGCACAUGUUCCAACCUACGUUCACAGCUCGAUGGUCGACUUCCAUCUUGUGAAAUGACUACACACACUGGCCUUUAACUGGCCUGGUAAUAAUAUUCCAGCAGGCCAUCAUCUCAUCGGGGGGCAGCGCUGGUGAUACUGGUGAUAGUGGUGGAGGGGGGGGGGGGGUUCUAUCCAUCCAAAUCAGCAUUAAUCAAGACAGCUUGGUUCAUUCCUCCUCGUAUCAAAUCAGACAAAUGAUUACUGGCAUUCAGGCGACGAGGGCCGUCAGCGGCGAGGGGCCGAGCUGCGCCGCAAUCAAACCGCCGCUCACUUCCUGGAGAUCCCACUGCAGAAUCAGUGUUUUUCUUCUCUUAACUAAUCGCUUAAUAAAAUGAAAGAUGAUUGACGGGCGCAAAAAAAGAGGCUUUGUGUGUUUCUACGGGAAUACACGCCCUGAAUGUGCACAUCACAAACCUGAAGCUGAGAGUAUUUAGAUCAGCUCGGCCUCAAAAUACUCAUCAUUCUUCUCCCAAUCAAGCGCUGCUCCAGCAGAGAUAAUUUCAUUUCCAGUGUGGUGUAAAUAGAGCAGACUGGCCCGAACCCACAGACGAAGAGAGGAUUUAAUCAGUUAUCAGAGGAGCAGCAGGACCUGCAGCAAGAUGUUGUUUCCAGCCUGAAAUACAGAGAAUUGCUUGAAUUUCAGACUCAGGGUUUAAUCCGAGCAGCUUGGUGUUGGGACCAGAGGACUGUGGACAGGAGAAAUGGUUCGAGGAGGUGUUACUCCAGUCGUUUUCCCACGCUCCCCCCACUUCUCUGGGGGAUGCUCUGCUCCCUGAGGACCAGCUAACGCAGCCUCUGCUCCCUGCAGGGCUGCAGCUCUGAGAAGUGUGGGGAGAGCUUCCUCCCAGAGCCGCCAGGCUGUCAUUAAAGCAGGGGUCAUUAGAGCUCAGCCGUCUCCUCCGUCGGCUUCAUCAUAUUAAAUCAAGGUUUUAAGCGAAACAACCCUAAAAGUACAUGAAAGAUGCAAACGCAGCGACAGAGGAGCAUUCUAGGGCUGGAGCAGGAGGCUCCACAGGGAGUCCCUCACCCCCUGCGACAGUGGGAACGUUCGGUAUCAGCCGACCGAGGCGGAGCGAGCUCAGGUGACAACAGAUUGUGUUUCGGAAUAAUUGAAGGAUCGGUGGAUGUGCGACGGCGAAUCAACAAACAACCCAGAGUUCUGUUGAGGCUGUGGGAGGGGGAACGCGGCGGGUUUGUUGUCACACGUGAGAAUUGAGCUAAACCGUUGGUCUUUUGUACAACACGGGUGAAACGUGUUGCUUUUCUGUAAACAUGGGGAAUAUCAUGUGACAGGAGCCGUUACCUGCAAAUAUUACACACAGGAGGUAUGUGAACAGGAACUACCUGGAAGGAGAUGGAAUCACUCAACAUGUCUAAAUAAUCAUGUCAGAUAACAUCAGAUUAAUAGAGAAAAUGGAUAUAAAUGAGAAAAGGCAUUGAUCUGAAAAUAGUCUGUAUCUGAAGCUUAGGCAGAUAAAACAUUUUAUUUGAAUUAAAAGAAUUAAAACCUUUUUAAAUAACCAGACUCAGUAUGUGGAUCCACGCUUUGAGUUUGGUAGUGACCGUCCAGGCUUUCAGACAUUGCAGAGCCUAAAGUCACUGAUUUUAGUGUAGACGCAGCCUAACAUCAGCAGCGUUCAGGGACAGUUCAGAGUGUAGGUAUGUAGACAACUGCCUCCUGAGCCUUUACCCACGUCAACGUCUGCGAUGCAAUCUGAUGAAAAGAUUAGUUACUGAUAAACAACAUGAAAAUCUUUGUAGUAAUUCCCUCUGUUUGUGCGCUUAGUCAAACUCAGGUGUGCUAAUCAGCUGCAGGGGUCACACAGGUUAUUUUCAUGAGUGAAACUCGAUGAAAACGGCGACAAACACUCAGACUUCAUCUUGGACGCUUAGCGACACCGUAAACAAUCCCACGACCUCGCUCG